GCACUGUAAGCUUGGGAAUCUCUAUGGUGACUCCUCGAUGUAGUGUUUGCCUCGGAUUUUAGAAUAGAAAAUCUGUUCAGCUUUAGCCCGGAACUGAGAUUUUAUCUGUAGUGUAUUUUCAUUUCUAUGACGAGAAUGUUGCCGGCUCAGGCGCGCUAAGCGGGCUCACUCUGGUGCAACGAGCUCCAGGAACGCCCACAGCCUGAUUUGUGCCACCUGCAGGCACAGCAUCGUAACUACAGCUGCAGUGAUUGUGCAGAUUGGAAACCUGGAUGACAGAAGCUUCGGUUCAAGACUCAGCAUUGCAUAUUAAUUCUCAGCUUCAUUUGUGAAGGAAAGAUAGCAGGGCACAGCAGAACCUGAAGAGCUUUUGGAAAGAACUUGCACUAGCCCUCCUGUUUUUGUUUGGCAAAAUCCUAUGAGCAGAUGACUCCCCACCCCACCAGCAGCAUGGAAUACACUGAGGCUACUGUUGAAGAAACAUCAGCUUUCUGUUGAUUCUUUGGAGGUAUGGAAUUUUCUGAAGUACUCACAAAACUCAUCUGUCACCAGGAAACAUUUGCUUCAAAGAAUGGAAAAACUCCAUGUAAAGGGAUGUACAUAUACACAGGGGUCUCCAAUGAACAAACGGGUAAGCCUGCUUGCGCAGGGGCAACAUGUAUUCAGUCAGAAUGUAUUGUAUGUUCUCAAAACUAA